rnacentral:rRNA from 1 species
UACGAAGGGGGCUAGCGUUGCUCGGAAUCACUGGGCGUAAAGGGUGCGUAGGCGGGUUUUUAAGUCAGGGGUGAAAUCCUGGGGCUUAACUCUGGGCCUGCAGUCGAUACGGGCAGACUUGAGUUCGGUAGGGGAGACUGGAAUUCCUGGUGUAGCGGUGAAAUGCGCAGAUAUCAAGGAGGAACACCGGUGGCGAAGGCGGGGUCUCUGGGCCGAUACUGACGCUGGAGGAGCGAAAGCGUGGGGAGCGAACAGGA